AAUGCCUAGGGAAGGAAAAACACACCACUGCCAUUGUUUUUUUUUGCUGGAGAUAUUUUCUCGUUAUCAUUCUCUGCACCUUCUCAUGGUGAUGUAGCUUCUGGAAUAUUUUAAUAGUUUCUCCAGCAUUUUUGUCUACCUUCGAUUUUCCAGCAUCUGCAGUUCCUUCUUAAACUGGAAUAUUUUAAUACUUGUUUUUGCUGGAAUUUGUAAAGCGUGUAUAUCCUUGAACUGGAAACUUUAGUCAUGCUUGCUCUGAUACUACCUAAUUUAGUAACGGUUCAAUGUUAGCGGAGUGAACUGGACCCCCCCCUCUCCCCCCAAGAAUGCAUAUGAGCCCACAUCAAUUGUGCCCUCCCUUCAAAAAAAAACAAACAUGACCAAACUCAGUCGGGAAUGAUUUGGUUUGAGGUGAAAGAUAGGCAGGCAUUUGGACCAUAACCCCUGCUAUUACUGGUCCUUGGUAGGAUCUCCUUCAUGCAAUCUUGCAAUGUACUUGUAUGGAGACUGCAUGUGGUCUUGUAACUUGUUGUGGAGGGACAUGUUGCCAAAACCCGCUUCUGUUUAUGUGAAACCUUUGUACAUUAUCCUCGCCGGCAAAGCGAUUGGAAUCGCGGUGACCAUGAGUGCUCUAACCUUCCAGUUUGUGCUCGCUUCAGUCUACCCUUUUAAAAUAAAACUGGUCUCAUUAGUCUUGUGUAAAUUACAACAUGUCAGGAAUUGCUGGAUUCAAAACUUUCGAUGUCACCGAAUGUAUAUAUAUUAAAAAAAAAGCAAAACGUUACCGAAAGGACAUUUAAAAUUGGUCAACUUGAGCGUUCACCUGAAACGACGGAUUUCAUACACGUAUCCCGUAGAAAUAACACUGUACUUUGAACUUCUUCCCAUUCAUGUCACUUGUAUAACUCGAGGAAUGUCAUGUGAAAUAAAAUUGUUGCAUCUGCUAAA